CCCAUCUACUCUGUGGGUACAUACCAUCUCUUCCAGCUGCUAACACACACACACACACAACACACACACACACACACACACACACACAGGAGAGAGAGAGAGAGAGAGAGAGAGACAGACAGACAGACAGAGAGACAGAGAGAGAGAGAGAGAGAGAGAGAGAGAGAGAGAGAGAGAGAGAGCACGCGCAAUACAUUACCCUUGUAUGUUUUGUUUUUCUUUUGAAGCUGCUAUUCUAAAAGUGCUCAGGUAAGUCUCAAUGCCAAAGUGGAGUCUUUCUUCACUACUGAUUUCCCUCCCAGCGACUCUUUUGUCAGCUGUCACAUCGUUGGAUUUUCACUUUAGGACCUGAACACAGAGCUUACUUAUUUCCCCACUGUCGAUAAUACUUUUCUGUGAGAACUCACGCCUCACUCAUUUCUGGAACAAUUUAUGUCGAGGGUCAGUAAGUAUCGAAAAAACCUUGGGAGGUCCUUGGUAGUCCACGGAAAGCCAAGGGCAGUGAACGGCAUUUCCAGUCAUGGAGCAUGAGGAAAAGUAUAUUGUGAAUCGUUAACAUGUUUUGUUUUCAUUCUUCAUUUUUGGCUGAGAUGUGGGAUAGAAGGAAAUGGGAUGUUGACAGAACCAGCCUUAAAUGCCAGCACACCUCAUACUGUAUAAGUCACAUGCAAUAUAUUAUUAAACUCAAGUUAGAUACUAAUUUAGUAAGAUAAUAACUAAAGUUAGAUACAAAGAAUCUUAAUUCCUGUUGAAUUCAGGGAAGUAGACAUGCUACACUAUUCUUUUGGAGAGAAUGACAUUCACUUAAUAUUGACCAUUCAUUCACACAAUUGCACGUUUUAUCUCUUUCAGUACAUUCCUAGCAACUGAAGUUCCUUUAGAACAUUUUCUCACAGAGACCAGCUCUCCAGGGUUGUUUCUUUGCUUGCAGAUAAGAGGACAAGAGUGGAUGACCUUCACAUUUUUUUCUCUAUGUAAUUGCCUGGUGCAGGUAGAAAAAAAAAUCCAACUGCAAAAACCCAGCAAAGCACACUUAAGUCAGUAAAAUGGCUAAGGACUCUGAAAUCAGUAAAUUAUAAAAUUUAAUCAAUUAAGUUCUAAGAACCAAUAACCCUUUGGUUGGCCAUGAAUGGUACACAUUUCAGAGAUGUAAUCAUUCGUUAGCAUUUCCUUCUCUUUUCUUUUUUUUUUUUAGGAAAAUGAAAUCCAAGGUUAGUCACUUCAGAGUACUGUGAAAGAAAAAUUCAUGAUAACAGUUUUCAUUCUAUGUGGAAGAAGUGAUUAAUGGGUUCUUUAUAAUAAGAAUCGUGCUUCAUGGAAUAAAUCAUCUUGAAUUCUUAAGGCAAGAUGAUGUCAGAAUCACAAGCAAAGGAAUAACGGCUGAAAGUGCUCAAACCCAAGGAUCAGCAAGUCCAAUUUUAAAAACUUUCCACGCUUUAUUAAAGCUACACAUGUCCAGCUCCAUUUCACCCGCUUGUUUUUGCUGUCCCAGGGCUGAAAUAGCUUUGUGUACACCAAGCUGGCAUUUUACAACUGAGCUGUCCAAUCUCUAACAGUGUGUCUUAAAGUGUGUGUGUACACUUGCAUGGACAGUCCGUUAUGGGGGCUUUCAAUAAUUAUCUUGACAAUAUGAGAACUUAUGCUUGCACACAUACCUAGUGAGUUCAUAGUUAGUGAGGUCAAAGUACCUACUAUUGGAGCAAGAUACAGGAAAGAUAAAAUUGGUCAUUUUAACCAUAUAGAUUUGCUGAUCAGACUGUGAACUGUGAUUGUGUUAUUUACCAAAAAGAAAAACUGUUUCAAGGUUUUGUGUGGCUCUGCCUUUGUGUGGCACACACCUUAAUCCCUCUGGCUGGAAUACAGACACAUCCUUAGUACACACUUUUAAUACCAAACAAUGAAGAUAAAGUUAGUUUGUAGAAGGAAGCAGCCAUGUUUGAAAGUGAUGUCUAGUUGAGUGGCAGACACGGUGAUGAAUCAGAGAAAGAUUUGACAGAAUAGGAUAUGCCCAGCUCUCAUGAGAAGAGAGGAAAGAAAAUCCACUUAAAAGAGCUUAAGUAAGCUCUCUUAAGCACACGCACAGAGAAAAAGAAGGCAGUUUUACCAGGAAAGUCAUACAGAGACAGGUUGCAGAGAGACACAGGAGAAGACAGAACAAGUCAGAGAAUGAGAAGGAGCCAGAAAAUUUAACAGAUUGCUAGAGUUAGUUUGAGGCCAAGCAGAGCAAAAAGUUAGAGGCCAAGAGAGAAGCCAGACUGAAGCAGUCAGCUUGGAGAGGAAUCUGAGCCAGAUAGCUGAGUUAAACCAGCCAGCCAGAGUUCAGAAAGAAUAGGAAAGGGUGAGUUAGUUAUUCAGCAGUAAGUCUAAGAGGCUGAAAACAUCCGGGGCCUAGAUAAGAUUUCACAGAGGCUGGAAGGUUCCAGGACUAAGCCUAGGCUAGCCUCCAGGCGACAAUUACCUCAGGCAAAUGAAAGGUACUGUUUCUGUAGUCUACAGUGCUGACGACACUCACAGCCAUGCAGCUGAUCCCUAGGGUAGUGACAGGCCAUAUCUUUUAAGUUCAGACUCCAUUUUAAAGAACCUGACCUAAGUUUGAACUCAAGUAAACUAACAGGCGGGUACCUAACAUUAGUUUCUGAGUUGCACCCCCUCCCCAAC
ensembl:lncRNA